rnacentral:snRNA from 1 species
AUACUCUGGCAGCACAUAUACUAAAAUUGGAAUGAUACAGAGAAAAUUAACAUGGUCCCUGUGAAAUUGACAUGCAAAUUUGUGAAGCAUUUCAUAUUUAA